CAGAACGAACGCUGGCGGCGCGUCUUAAGCAUGCAAGCCGGGCGGCAAGGGGUAGCAAUAUCUCCUAGAGCGGCGGACUGGUGAGUAACACGUGGGUGACCUGCGUUAAACCUCCCCAUAGCCAUUAGAAAUAGUGGGUAAUACCGGAUAAGCUCAUUUGAUUAUGAUUGGAUGAGGAAAGGAGCUUCGGCUCCGCUUUAGGAUGGGCCCGCGCCCCAUUAGCUAGUUGGAGAGGUAAAGGCUCACCAAGGCGAUGAUGGGUAGCCGGCCUGAGAGGGUGAACGGCCACAUUGGGACUGAGAUACGGCCCAAACUCCUACGGGAGGCAGCAGCUAAGAAUAUUCCGCAAUGGACGAAAGUCUGACGGAGCGACGCCGCGUGGAUGAAGAAGGCCGAAAGGUUGUAAAAUCCUUUUGCUACUGAAGAAUAAGACCGGGAGGGAAUGCCCGAUUGAUGACGUUAGGAGCGAAUAAGCCCCG
rnacentral:rRNA from 1 species